GCCGGGGCCGCCACUGCAGCUGCUGCUGCCUGCUGGUUGCCGCGUCUUCCCGGAGGCGACUGCUGGAAGCUGCAGGGAACAGCUGCGGUGCUCUGCCAUAUUGUGUCUUCCCCGGCCGGUCCCUCGCCUCCCGGCCGAGCUGACGUUGGUUGAAGCCAUGGAUAACAGAACCCACAGAUGCAGAGGGCUGACUGUACAAGUCUGUCAAAAAACCAAACUGCUGGUUGGCUAAUAAUUGGUCACUGUAUGACUUAUAGUACAGGUGAUAUUACUUCUGAUUCUAGAUGAUCUUUUGUGGUACUGCUUUUUGAAAUCCGUGUUUCUGUGAAACGGAGGAGGAU
rnacentral:lncRNA from 1 species